rnacentral:rRNA from 1 species
AGAGUUUGAUCAUGGCUCAGGACGAACGCUGGCGGCGUGCCUAACACAUGCAAGUCGAGCGAGUGGAGUUCUUCGGAACAAAGCUAGCGGCGGACGGGUGAGUAACACGUGGGCAACCUGCCUCAUAGAGGGGAAUAGCCUCCCGAAAGGGAGAUUAAUACCGCAUAAGAUUGUAGCUUCGCAUGAAGUAGCAAUUAAAGGAGCAAUCCGCUAUGAGAUGGGCCCGCGGCGCAUUAGCUAGUUGGUGAGGUAACGGCUCACCAAGGCGACGAUGCGUAGCCGACCUGAGAGGGUGAUCGGCCACAUUGGGACUGAGACACGGCCCAGACUCCUACGGGAGGCAGCAGUGGGGAAUAUUGCACAAUGGGGGAAACCCUGAUGCAGCAACGCCGCGUGGGUGAUGACGGCCUUCGGGUUGUAAAGCUCUGUCUUCAGGGACGAUAAUGACGGUACCUGAGGAGGAAGCCACGGCUAACUACGUGCCAGCAGCCGCGGUAAUACGUAGGUGGCGAGCGUUGUCCGGAUUUACUGGGCGUAAAGGGAGCUUAGGCGGACUUUUAAGUGAGAUGUGAAAUACCCGGGCUCAACUUGGGUGCUGCAUUUCAAACUGGAAGUCUAGAGUGCAGGAGAGGAGAAUGGAAUUCCUAGUGUAGCGGUGAAAUGCGUAGAGAUUAGGAAGAACACCAGUGGCGAAGGCGAUUCUCUGGACUGUAACUGACGCUGAGGCUCGAAAGCGUGGGGAGCAAACAGGAUUAGAUACCCUGUAGUCCACGCCGUAAACGAUGAAUACUAGGUGUAGGGGUUGUCAUGACCUCUGUGCCGCCGCUAACGCAUUAAGUAUUCCGCCUGGGAGUACGGUCGCAGAUUAAACUCAAAGGAAUUGACGG